rnacentral:lncRNA from 1 species
GUUGAAAGAAGUGAAGCUUAGAGAAGGGUACUAUGUGAUGGAUCCUGUCAAAGCAGUGGAAAUGGUUGAUGAAAACACCAUCUGUGUAGCUGCAAUCUUGGGUUCAACCCUCAAUGGAGAAUUUGAAGAUGUCAAGCUUCUAAACGAUCUUUUAAUUAAAAAGAACAAAGAAACUGGGUAAACAUAUCAUAUCUUUUUCCAGCGACCUAAACUUGAUAAUAAUCUGAAAUUUGAGGUGCUAAGUUUCAUAUAUUAAUCACCUUUUUUUAAAUCUCUUUGUGCAGAUGGGAUACCCCAAUUCAUGUUGAUGCAGCUAGUGGUGGAUUUAUUGCGCCAUUUUUGUACCCAGAACUUGAGUGGGACUUUAGGCUCCCCCUUGUGAAGAGUAUUA